AAGACUUACUUUCAGGGAUCAUUCCUAUAGUUUCUAACUGAGAAAUGUGUUUCUAAAGUGUUUGGUCUCGCCAACCACGAUGAUGAGUCGUGAUAUUUCCUUCUGAGCAUGAAGCUGACAGAGAGUAAUGAUUCACUUCAUAUGUCUGUCAUUGAUGAUUGUUUCUUUACUUCUUGUGGAGUAUGAGAGAAGGGAAUAUGAUCAGAGUGGU
ensembl:snoRNA U3 Small nucleolar RNA U3